AUAAUGAUGGCCUAGUGGUUCAAGCGUAAGACUUCAGCUCUAACGGUCAGUGGUUCGAGCCCAAGUGAUGAUU
rnacentral:tRNA from 1 species